rnacentral:rRNA from 1 species
UAGGGAAUAUUGGUCAAUGGGUGAGAGCCUGAACCAGCCAUGCCGCGUGCAGGAAGACGGCCUUCUGGGUUGUAAACUGCUUUUACCAGGGGAUAAAAAGAUCUUGCGAGAUAAAUUGAAGGUACCUGGAGAAUAAGCACCGGCUAACUACGUGCCAGCAGCCGCGGUAAUACGUAGGGUGCAAGCGUUGUCCGGAUUUAUUGGGUUUAAAGGGUGCGUAGGCGGGCUAUUAAGUCAGUGGUGAAAUCCAGCAGCUUAACUGUUGAUGUGCCAUUGAUACUGGUAGCCUUGAGUACAGAUGAGGUAGGCGGAAUUGACAGUGUAGCGGUGAAAUGCAUAGAUAUUGUCAAGAACUCCGAUAGCGAAGGCAGCUUACUGGGCUGUAACUGACGCUGAUGCACGAAAGUGUGGGGAUCAA